UCAAACUGAAUAUACAAAAAGACAGUCUAUGGAUGUCAAUACUGAGAUAACAGAGAAGCUAAAGUUAUCUGAAGCAAAAUGUAAAACAAUCAUGAUAAAACUGAUGAAGAUGGCCUUUUCUGGUCCGCCUGGUAAACUCCUAUUCUUCCUUCAGAUUCAGCCCAAAUCAGUCUUCAGUAAUAAUUCUCACUUACUGGACUUGGCGCUUGACUGAGAGAGUGAGGCAGAGGCACACUUAACAUUUUGUUCAACAGUGUUUGAAGGAUAAAAAUGAUUCCUGCCUACGUGAAAAAAAUCGUUCCAUCAUCAUUUCCUCUGUUUUAUGCUUUGAAAUAAAAAU
rnacentral:lncRNA from 1 species